AUAUUAACGGCAAGUGAGCGGCAACAGCUCAAAUUUAGAAAUCUGGCUUUCCUCUGGAAGCCCGAGUUGUAAUUUGCARAGGAUGCUUUUGACAAGACMCCWUCCRAGUUCCUUGGAAUAGGACGCCACARAGGGKGAGAGCCCCGUCUGGUUGGAUGUCAAGUCUCUAUAAAGCUCCUUCAACGAGUCGAGUAGUUKGGGAAUGCUGCUCAAAGKGGGAGGUAUAUGUCUUCUAAAGCUAAAUACCGGCUAGAGACCGAUAGCGCACAAGUAGAGUGAUCGAAAGAUGAAAAGCACUUUGAAAAGAGGGUUAAACAGUACGUGAAAUUGCUGARAGGGAAGCGCUUAUAACCAGACGUGAGUAGUGUCCAAUCMCCCAGUAUUCUUACUGGGGCACUUGGAUAUUUUCAGGCCAGCAUCGGUUUGGCACAGGGRAUAAAGACAUGUGRAAUGUASCCCUCCUUUUGGGGGGUGUUAUAGCCUAGUGUGUAAUGCCCUGKGGUARACCGAGGAACGCGCAUCACUGCAUGGAUGCUGGCGUAAUGGUUGUCAGCGACCCGUCUUGAAA
rnacentral:rRNA from 1 species